AUUAUUAAAGGGCUGCAGUAUAUUGACUGUACAAAGGUAGCAUAAUCAUUAGUCUUUUAAUUGAAGACUUGUAUGAAGGAUUUGAUGAAAUAUAAGCUGUCUCUUAUAUAUAAAUAGAAUUUAAUUUUUUAGUUAAAAAGCUAAAAUUUAUUUAAAAGACGAGAAGACCCUAUAGAGUUUUAUAUUUAUUUUUUAUUAAUUUAUAUAUAAAUAUUAAAAAUUUUUAAUUUAAUAAUUAUUUUAUUGGGGUGAUAAAAAAAUUAGAUAAACUUUUUUUAAUAAAUUAACAAAUAUAAAUGAAUAAAUGAUCCAUUUUUAUGAUUAAAAGAAAAAAUUACCUUAGGGAUAACAGCGUAAUUUUUUUUUUUAGUACAAAUAAAAAAUAAAGUUUGCGACCCCGAUGUUGGAUUAAAAUAAAAUUUAAAUGCAAAAGUUUAAAAUUUU
rnacentral:rRNA from 1 species